CUUGUCAAACAUAACAUAAAUUAGUUUUCAUGAAAAUUAAUGAUCCCAAAAUAUGUUAUAGUCUAUCCUUAUUAUUUGAAGGAAAACCCUACCUACAUAUAAUUCAAUUUUUCAUGAAAUACUAUUUAAUUAAAUGGUAAUUGAUAAAAUAUUAAACCUAAAAUUGCAAAUGGUAUAAACUGACUUCAAUUAGAGAACUGUUAAUAGUUAGCAGCCAUAGCAUAGCCAAAUGUCAUCAAAGCAAUAAAAGACCCAAUUAAUAUAAAACUUGAAGCGCACACCACACAAAAAAAAAAAAGGAUAAAAAUAAUUUGGCUAAAUUAAUUAUUUAAAUUUGCAUAAUGAAAGCUAAAUCAAUAAAGAGAACUUAAAUUAGCUAACUACUGACUACGUACUGAAAUUCCGAAGCAGAAAACAAAAUUCAAUUAAAGUACAACAAAAACAUUUUUAUACCAAAUAGUGAAAACAAUAAAAACAGCAUUUAAACCCUAAAUUAUACCUCAGGAAAGUGAAACUUCAAAAAAA
rnacentral:misc_RNA from 1 species